rnacentral:misc_RNA from 1 species
GAGAACACAAGUAAACGGCAAAAUUGUGGAAGAUGCCAAUGGAGUCCAUAAUGAUGCUAAUGCAAUGAACGGUGUGUAGAUGGUGGAAGCUGUAAGCUAUGACUGCAGCGAGGACUGCGUUUUAUAUCUUUAAGAACCCUUGGGGUGGGGGCCUUCUGUUCCAAGAAUGCUGGUAAAUUUUGAUUUGUAUUCAACUAGAGGAAAAUGAAAAAUGGGUAGCAUGUACGAAUGUUUAGCAGUCCCGCUG